CCAGCUCCCAGGACUGUGUCUGGCUGAUCACCGUGCCCAUUGGCCAUGGCGUCCGCCUCAACCUCAGCCUGCUGCAGACAGAGCCCUCUGGAGAUUUCAUCACCAUCUGGGAUGGACCACAGCAAACAGCACCACGGCUCGGCGUCUUCACCCGGAGCAUGGCCAAAAAAACAGUGCAGAGUUCAUCCAACCAGGUCCUGCUCAAGUUCCACCGCGAUGCAGCCACAGGGGGAAUCUUCGCCAUAGCUUUCUCCGGUCAGUAUGGAAGCCUGGCCUGGUGGGAAGGGCCAGGCUUUCAAGUCAAGGCUGAGCUUGACUCCCGGCUCCACCAUUUGCAGAUCAUGUGACCUUGAGUGAGUUGUAUAACCUCUUGGAGCCUCAGUGUCUUCAGAGUUAUGAGAAUUAAAUGUGUUAGCCUAUGUGAGAGCUCUCAGUGCAGGGUUCUGUAAAUGCAAGUUUUCCUCCUAUUCCACACUGCCAGGGCAGAGAGGCACAGAAGCCCAAACCUUGGUGCCAAGUCCACUCAUUCACAUCAACUCACUGGCUGGAUCAUCCCUAUACCUGUGCCCCAGCUUAUCCCUUAGCACUUUCUAGCGGGUUCUCCUUCUCCAAAGGGAUCUAGUGCCUCUGCUGACCUCUCAAGGAGCACUGUGUUUUUCUGCACAAAUGAAGGCAUUGUGAUUUUGAGUAGGAAGAGUAUGAACAGUUCAGAGUAGGUAUGUCUUUAUUGGCAGCCUGUUUUCUUCUACGAGUCCCAAGUUAGGGAUCUGGAUAUUUCCUCAUUUUUAUUAUAGUGGAAUUGCCUAGAGAAACUUAUAGAAUGUUCUCUGUGGACUUGUGCCUAUCUAUGGAAUGAUGCACAUAAUUGCAAUUUACAGAUCACUGCAGAUAUUUUAACCAGAAAUCGGGAAAGCUGGAUUUUACUCCCAGCUCCACCUUGGGCCAGCUGUGUAAAACCUUGCACAGGUCCCUUCCCCACUUGAGACUUCAGUUUCUUCACCUGUAGAAUUACUGGCUUGGAGUUUGUGACCUGUAAGAAUUCUGUGAGGUAGUAAGGCAAAUAUUCUAACCCCUACUUUACAAAUGAAGAAAUAGGGCAAAGGAAGGCUCAAGUACUUGUCCAAAACCAUGUGGAUAGAACUGGAAACAGAACCCAGCCUCCGCAGUAUCUGCUGCAGUGUCUGCUACAGUAUCUGCUCUGGUGUGACUAUACAGUGUUAUUACAUCAUGCGUGCACUUGCAGAAACACACUAAGACUGUGAAAGAGGUAGUGAAAGAAACAGAAAGCGACAGAGAGAAACAAGGAUGUAAAGAACCUAAGCAGCUGUGACUGCCAUUCCCAGGAGCUAUCAUCCAGGGUGAGUGCAAUGUGGGAAUGAGACUCCGCCCUCUGCAUCUGCUCAGUUCCCAUGCCCCUCUCAUUGGGCACACCUGUCACUCCACUAAUGAAAUCCAGGCUUUAAGGCUCUGUCAUUUUGACUUGUGACUUUCCCAUAGAGUGAUAAGAGUAUGGACUUCAGAGUCACAGAUGGGUUCAAACCUUGGCUCUGACACAUGCAAGCUAUGUAACCUUGUCUGUCAUUUCACCUUUCUGAGCCUCAAUGUUAUUAUGCACAAAAUAGGAAUAAUAUAAGUACCUAACCUCCUAAAGUUAAAUGAAACAAUGCUUGGAAAUCCUUAGCUCCAGGCACAGAGUAUAAAAGGUGAUCAAUAACUUAUAGUUCUAAUAGUCAUCAUUGUCAUGAUUAUUUUUAUUAUAUCUAGAUAUUGACAGGCUUGGUGUAAAGUUACCUUGGUGGUAGGCCAGGUCUCUUGUUCCUGUUCCUGAGCCUUCACCUGUACCAGAACCAGGCAAAGGAGGCUCAGCACAGCCCCAGGCCAUCCUUAUUUCCAAGUUCUUCUCAGCAAGGUCUUUCAGUGAGAGUGCUUGCCUAAGGGCACAAUGCUCCUUCUGCCUCUCAAAUGAGACAUAAGGCCCUUGCUAUGGUGUAAAUGCUUAGGCCCCCCUAGAAUUCAUAUGCUGAUGUCCUAACCCCCAAGGUGAUGGUAUUAGGAGGUGGGGCCUUGGGAGGCAAUUAGGUCAGACAACAGAGCCCUCAUGAAUGGGAUUAGUGCCUUUAUAAAAGAGACCCACAGAAUCACCACACUGAAGCCUUCUCAGUGGAAAGAGCUAAGAAACACAGGAAACACAGAGGCCGAGGUGGGUGGAUCGCCUGAGGUGAGGAGUUCAAGACCAGCCUGACCAACAUGGAGAAACCCUGUCUCUACUAAAAAUACAAAAUUAGAUGGGCGUGGUGGCGCAUGCCUGUAAUCCCAGCUACCCAGGAGGCUGAGGCAGAAGAAUCGCUUGAACCUGGGAGGCGGAGGUUGCGGUGAGCCAAGAUCACGCCAUUGCACUCCAGCCUGGGCAACAAGAGUGAAACUCCAUCUC
rnacentral:sRNA from 1 species